GAUGGGGCUAGACUAUUUACAUGUAGUGACAGGUCAAGGGGAAACAGGUUCAUGCUAGAAAUAGGUUUAGAUCAGAUACUGGGAAAAAAAUUCUUUAUUGUAAGGGAGGUGAGGCACUGGAACAGGGUAGCCAGUGAAGUUGUGGUUGUCCCAUCCCUAAACGUGUUCAAAGCCAGGCUGGAUGCAGCUCUAAGCAACCUGAACAAGUGGAGGGUGUCCCUGCCCACGGCAGGACGGCUGGAACCAGAUGAUCUUUAAAGUCCCUUCCAACCCCAACCCUGUUGUGAUUCCGUGAUUCUCGCAAGCUGUCCCCGGCUGUGCCCCAGGGGCCCGGCUGCCCCGGCCGCCCCCGCAGGGCCCACGGGAGCAGCGCCGCCACCCGAGGCGCCGCAGAGCCCGGGGGGUGCCGGGUCCGGACGGGACGGCCCGGCCCCACCAGGCCGGCGGGGAGGUCCGCGGGCGAGGCCUCCCUGCAGCGCCCCGGCCCGGGAGGCCUCGCCGAGCCCCGGCCGCGGCUCCGCCCGCGGCGGCGCCUCCGCCGGAAGGGAAGCAGAGCCGCCCCGGCCGAGGGGAGGGGAGAGCGGCGCGGGGGAGGGGACACCGCCCGCCCGGGCGCCCCCAGAGGCGGGCGGGCGGCCGCUGCGCGCUCCCCUCCGCGCGGCGGUACCUGCGCUGGAAGUCGGUCCGGAAGGGCGCCAGUGUGCCUCUAAGUCGUGAGCUUGGCAGUUUUCCUGAUGCAGACAAGAGGUGGGACUUGCUUUAUAAGUCAUCAGCCCCGAGGCCUUCACAAGAAAAACAGUGAUGUUUACCUUGGGGGAUUCUAAUUCCUCAGCUUUGGCUGUCUCCUCAGCAACUCCUGUGUUGUCAUCUGCUUCAACACAUGCACUUACAAGGAGCACUUACAAAGGGAGCUGAGUCAUUCUCUAAAUCUGGACCAUCGUCCUCUGAACAUAAAACCUUCCUCUGCAGUUCUUAAGGGCAAUCAUAUGGCAUUGACAUCCCUAAGAAAUUCAAAGUUACAUGGAAGAAAAUUAAACAGCAUAUCAAUGGAUGAGAUAGGCAUGAUGGUUUCUCCACGAUGUCAUUGCAUGUUGAUGAAGGAACAGCACUGUGAAAUAUGAGAUGCAAGUGUCAUCAGAAUAUUACCCUGGUUUUGCAAGGAGUUGCGCAAGGAGCCAUUCCUUUUCUGCAAAAGGAAGGCUUGGUUAUUCAUAAGUGUAAAAACAAGAACCAACUGCCAGCAACAGAAAAAUAAUUCUGGUUACAGAAAAAUAAAAUUUCCUGUUUUUUUAAUUUCCUUUCUAUUCCAUGAAGUAUAGAUAUUCCUAACAAUGAAAAAUAAAAAAAAGCAAACUAUCACCUCUUGUCCCAGUUUUUCUUAAAUCUAAAAAUGUUUUGCAAAUUUAACUUAAAACAGUCAAAUGUCUUGCCCUGUUUUUUCAUUUUU